rnacentral:tRNA from 1 species
UCCCUAGAGGACCAGUGGUUAGGCCUUGGCGCUCUCACUGCCGUGGCCCGGGUUCAAUUCCUGGCCAGGGAA